rnacentral:rRNA from 1 species
UACGUAGGGUGCAAGCGUUGUCCGGAAUUAUUGGGCGUAAAGAGCUCGUAGGCGGUCUGUCGCGUCUGGUGUGAAAAUCCAGGGCUUAACCCUGGACCUGCAUCGGGUACGGGCAGACUAGAGUGCGGUAGGGGAGAUCGGAAUUCCUGGUGUAGCGGUGAAAUGCGCAGAUAUCAGGAGGAACACCGGUGGCGAAGGCGGAUCUCUGGGCCGUAACUGACGCUGAGGAGCGAAAGCUAGGGGAGCAAACGGG